GACGAACGCUGGCGGCGUGCUUAACACAUGCAAGUCGAACGGGGAGUUAGCAAUAAUUCCUAGUGGCGAACGGGUGAGUAACGCGUAGACAACCUACCCUCUAGAUGGGGACAACACCGCGAAAGUGGUGCUAAUACCGAAUGUUGUAAUGUUAUUGCAUAAUGAUAUUACUAAAGGUGGCCUCUAUAUAAAAGCUACCGCUAGAAGAUGGGUCUGCGUCUGAUUAGCUAGUUGGUGAGAUAACAGCUCACCAAGGCAAUGAGCAGUAGCCGGUCGGAGAGGAUGAACGGCCACACUGGGACUGAGACACGGCCCAGACUCCUACGGGAGGCAGCAGGGGGGAAUCUUCCGAAAUGGACGAAAGUCUGACGGAGCACCGCCGCGUGAGUGAAGAAGGUUUUCGGAUCGUAAAGCUCUGUCUUCAAGGACGAAUGUAGAUAUUGUGACUAAUGAUAUUUAAUGACGGUACUUGAGGAGGAAGCCACGGCUAACUACGUGCCAGCCGCCGCAGUAA
rnacentral:rRNA from 1 species